CAAAUCUGGAAGUUUCUAGCAUUCGCGCAGGCACGGUCACCGUCAACGUGGCAGCCCUCACGCGCAUCCGUCAUUGAACUCACGAACCGUCACAGUUAUCACAGCCUCAGGUAAUGCUUCGAUCUUUAGCUUUUUUAGGUUACGGUAAAAUGGGGACAAUUUUGAAAGCUAUCAAUUUCCGUUUUAUUUAAUUUUCGGUUGAAAUUAAAUGUUAAGGAAAUAACUGUGUUUGUGCUGAAUUGGUCUGGAAUUUGUGCUUGAGUUGGUCUGCAAUUUGUGUGCUCGAAUUG
rnacentral:lncRNA from 1 species